GCAUUGGCGACUCAAUGGUAGAAUUCUCACCUUCUAUGUGGGAGACACGGGUUCAAUUCCUGGCCAGUGUA
rnacentral:tRNA from 1 species